UUAACCUGUCCGCUGUGAUUGGCACGGAUUUGGCCUUCACUGGUAGCCUGGUAACAUACACUCCCAGGUCUUUCUCUGCCUCUGUGGUGGAUAGUGGAGUGUUUCCCAUGUGGUAUUGGUAUGCUGGAUAUCCCUUCACUGGUAGCCUGGUAACAUACACUCCCAG